rnacentral:misc_RNA from 1 species
GAAAUACGAUAAGUAGUGUAAAUUACAGAAUUCAGUAAAUUAUCGAAUCUUUAAACGCACAUUACGCCCUUUAGUAUUCCUUAGGGUAUACCUAUUCGAGCGUUAUUUAAACCUUUAAGCUCAGCUUAGUGUUAGGUAACUAUCCGCUUCACCGCGGACUCGCCUUAAAAUUAUUAGCGGCCGGUAUAUUAGCUUCGAGCGUAGUAGAAACGCGAACUCGGGCCCGUCGUAUUAGCUCCUAGAAGCUAUCUUUAUAAUUUUAACCUCGGAUUAGGUAGGGAUACCCGCUGAACUUAA